UACAGAGGGGGCGAGCGUUGUUCGGAAUUACUGGGCGUAAAGGGCGCGUAGGCGGCCCGCUAAGUCGAACGUGAAAUCCCCAGGCUCAACUUGGGAAUUGCGCUUGUGACUGCAAGGCUAGAGUGUGUCAGAGGGGGGUAGAAUUCCACGUGUAGCAGUGAAAUGCGUAGAGAUGUGGAGGAAUACCGAUGGCGAAGGCAGCCCCCUGGGACAUGACUGACGCUCAUGCACGAAAGCGUGGGGAGCAAACAGG
rnacentral:rRNA from 1 species